rnacentral:rRNA from 1 species
UACGUAGGGUGCAAGCGUUAAUCGGAAUUACUGGGCGUAAAGCGUGCGCAGGCGGUGGCUUGUGUCAGGUGUGAAAGCCCCGGGCUUAACCUGGGAAUUGCGCUUGAAACUAGGUCGCUAGAGUGCGUCAGAGGGGGGUGGAAUUCCACGUGUAGCAGUGAAAUGCGUAGAGAUGUGGAGGAACACCGAUGGCGAAGGCAGCCCCCUGGGAUGACACUGACGCUCAGGCACGAAAGCGUGGGUAGCAAACAGG